rnacentral:rRNA from 1 species
UGGGGAAUAUUGGACAAUGGGGGCAACCCUGAUCCAGCAAUGCCGCGUGUGUGAAGAAGGCCUGCGGGUUGUAAAGCACUUUUGGCAGGGAUGAAAAGCACUGGAUUAAUAACCCAGUGUGUUGACCUAACCUGCAGAAGAAGCACCGGCUAACUACGUGCCAGCAGCCGCGGUAAUACGUAGGAUGCGAGCGUUAAUCGGAAUUACUGGGCGUAAAGCGUGCGCAGGCGGUUUGGUAAGACAGAUGUGAAAUCCCCGGGCUUAACCUGGGAACUGCAUUUGUGACUGCCAGACUAGAGUGUAGCAGAGGGGGGUAGAAUUCCACGUGUAGCAGUGAAAUGCGUAGAUAUGUGGAGGAAUACCGAUGGCGAAGGCAGCCCCCUGGGCUAACACUGACGCUCAUGCACGAAAGCGUGGGGAGCAAACAGGAUUAGAUACCCUAGUAGUCCCUGAGCGGGCUGGCAAGGCGCAU